rnacentral:tRNA from 1 species
UGUCCAAUGGUGUAAUGGUAGCACGUCGGAUUCUGGUUCCGCCUGUGAGGGUUCGAGUCCUUCUUGGACAA